rnacentral:rRNA from 1 species
GACGAACGCUGGCGGCGUGCUUAACACAUGCAAGUCGAACGGAAAGGCCCUGCUUUUGUGGGGUGCUCGAGUGGCGAACGGGUGAGUAACACGUGAGUAACCCGCCCUUGACUUUGGGAUAACUUCAGGAAACUGGGGCUAAUACCGGAUAGGAGCUCCUGCUGCAUGGUGGGGGUUGGAAAGUUUCGGCGGUUGGGGAUGGACUCGCGGCUUAUCAGCUUGUUGGUGGGGUAGUGGCUUACCAAGGCUUUGACGGGUAGCCGGCCUGAGAGGGUGACCGGCCACAUUGGGACUGAGAUACGGCCCAGACUCCUACGGGAGGCAGCAGUGGGGAAUAUUGCACAAUGGGCGGAAGCCUGAUGCAGCAACGCCGCGUGCGGGAUGACGGCCUUCGGGUUGUAAACCGCUUUCGCCUGUGACGAAGCGUGAGUGACGGUAAUGGGUAAAGAAGCACCGGCUAACUACGUGCCAGCAGCCGCGGUGAUACGUAGGGUGCGAGCGUUGUCCGGAUUUAUUGGGCGUAAAGGGCUCGUAGGUGGUUGAUCGCGUCGGAAGUGUAAUCUUGGGGCUUAACCCUGAGCGUGCUUUCGAUACGGGUUGACUUGAGGAAGGUAGGGGAGAAUGGAAUUCCUGGUGGAGCGGUGGAAUGCGCAGAUAUCAGGAGGAACACCAGUGGCGAAGGCGGUUCUCUGGGCCUUUCCUGACGCUGAGGAGCGAAAGCGUGGGGAGCGAACAGGCUUAGAUACCCUGGUAGUCCACGCUGUAAACGGUGGGUACUAGGUGUGGGGUCCAUUCCACGGGUUCCGUGCCGUAGCUAACGCUUUAAGUACCCCGCCUGGGGAGUACGGCCGCAAGGCUAAAACUCAAAGGAAUUGACGGGGCCCCGCACAAGCGGCGGAGCAUGCGGAUUAAUUCGAUGCAACGCGUAGAACCUUACCUGGGUUUGACAUGGAUCGGGAGUGCUCAGAGAUGGGUGUGCCUCUUUUGGGGUCGGUUCACAGGUGGUGCAUGGCUGUCGUCAGCUCGUGUCGUGAGAUGUUGGGUUAAGUCCCGCAACGAGCGCAACCCUUGUUCACUGUUGCCAGCACGUUAUGGUGGGGACUCAGUGGAGACCGCCGGGGUCAACUCGGAGGAGGGUGGGGAUGACGUCAAGUCAUCAUGCCCCUUAUGUCCAGGGCUUCACGCAUGCUACAAUGGCUGGUACAGAGAGUGGCGAGCCUGUGAGGGUGAGCGAAUCUCGGAAAGCCGGUCUCAGUUCGGAUUGGGGUCUGCAACUCGACCUCAUGAAGUCGGAGUCGCUAGUAAUCGCAGAUCAGCAACGCUGCGGUGAAUACGUUCCCGGGGCU